CCUACGGGACGCAGCAGUGGGGAAUAUUGCACAAUGGGGGAAACCCUGAUGCAGCGACGCCGCGUGAGUGAAGAAGUAUUUCGGUAUGUAAAGCUCUAUCAGCAGGGAAGAAGUUGACGGUACCUGAGUAAGAAGCCCCGGCUAACUACGUGCCAGCAGCCGCGGUAAUACGUAGGGGGCAAGCGUUAUCCGGAUUUACUGGGCGUAAAGGGAGCGUAGACGGCAGUGCCAGUCUGAAGUGAAAGCCC
rnacentral:rRNA from 1 species